UUAACUCUCCAGUAUCAUCUACUGUGCUGUCAUUCUCUCACAUGGCCUUUGGUCAUUGGUUCAGACAGGCUAAGAAGACAAAUGGAGAUUUGCAGAAGAAAAUAUCGUAUGGGUUAUCCUGGUAGUCUCCAGAGAAUUAACUGAGUCAUCCACAUUAUUUAGCUCCAUCUCCAUCCUUCAUGUGAUAGGAAAUAGAGUUUUGAAGUCGAGGACAUAAAGCAGCAUCACCAAAUAGAGAGUUGCUACCUCUGCCAAAGGCAAAAAGGAGAUAGGGAAGCUGCCACAGCAUCUGUUGGUUCCAGGAAGAAACCACUUUGCCUGUGGCCUGGGGAUAGAAGGAUGACACCUCAUCUAGUUACUUUAUGCAUGGCAGUUCUGCACUAGCAAAAACUCAGAGGCCAACCCCCAGACUGGAGCCUGAAAUGUUGCUACAUAAAACUCAGUGUUUCCAUGACUGAGCUUGCCAGCUGCAACAACAAUAUCAGCAGAAAGAUCGCUUCUGAUCAACUUCUCCUUCCAAAUCUCAUGUGAGUGCAAAUGCUGGCAGAAACUCAAUUUAACCAGAACCCUACUUGUAAGGGAGUCUGGGAAAUGUAAUUUUUAGAUUACUAGUUUUACAAAUAUAAAUGUAUAUGGAAGGAGGUUGGAAUGGAGGUUGAGUGCUGAUCUGCCAUAUCCACAUCAUAUCUCCUUUAGACUCUGACACAAGAGGUGGCCUUUCCCUGAACCCUAUGCUUUAGAAGAUCCUGAAUACCACAGAUGCAAUAUGAGUAAAUUUAUAAAAACACAUUUAUGCUCCUAUCUCUUGGGAACCUAUAUUCAACAGUGGCACAGCACAACCCAUAAACCAAAGCAUCAGCUCACAGACAUUGUUCAGGCCUUAGAGAAGUGUUUCUCAAGGUCACUUACCAUAUAUUCUUGAAAGGAAAGAUGGCCAAGUCCAAAUUCCAUGGAAGUUUGUGAAUGGAGCCACUUCAGACUUUGGGGGUGGACACAACUUUGCACAGAAGACCUGAAGAGUGAAAAUAUUUGGGAAAGAGAAAAGAUAAAAUUACUACCUUGUGAAUUUUUUCCUCUCAUGAAUAAUUUUUUGGCAUUAUUAAAGCACCAGAUUUCCA